UACGUAGGGUGCAAGCGUUGUCCGGAAUUAUUGGGCGUAAAGAGCUCGUAGGCGGUCUGUUGCGUCGGCUGUGAAAACCCGGGGCUCAACUCCGGGCCUGCAGCCGAUACGGGCAGACUAGAGUUCGGCAGGGGAGACUGGAAUUCCUGGUGUAGCGGUGAAAUACGCAGAUAUCAGGAGGAACACCGGUGGCGAAGGCGGGUCUCUGGGCCGAUACUGACGCUGAGGCACGAAAGCGUGGGGAGCAAACAGG
rnacentral:rRNA from 1 species